rnacentral:rRNA from 1 species
GAUGAACGCUGGCGGCGUGCCUAACACAUGCAAGUCGAGCGAUUCUCUUCGGAGAAGAGCGGCGGACGGGUGAGUAACGCGUGGGUAACCUGCCCUGUACACACGGAUAACAUACCGAAAGGUAUGCUAAUACGAGAUAAUAUACUUUUAUCGCAUGGUAGAAGUAUCAAAGCUCCGGCGGUACAGGAUGGACCCGCGUCUGAUUAGCUAGUUGGUAAGGUAACGGCUUACCAAGGCGACGAUCAGUAGCCGACCUGAGAGGGUGAUCGGCCACAUUGGAACUGAGACACGGUCCAAACUCCCACGGGAGGCAGCAGUGGGGAAUAUUGCACAAUGGGCGAAAGCCUGAUGCAGCAACGCCGCGUGAGCGAUGAAGGCCUUCGGGUCGUAAAGCUCUGUCCUCAAGGAAGAUAAUGACGGUACUUGAGGAGGAAGCCCCGGCUAACUACGUGCCAGCCGCCGCCGUAAGAC